UGAUAGCGUUGAAGCGUGAGGUUGCUACUUGUUUAAGUAGGUUUUCCGUGGAGCGAAUGUCAAGUCUAGAUACUGACGGCAA
rnacentral:ncRNA from 1 species